rnacentral:rRNA from 1 species
CCUACGGGAGGCUGCAGUGAGGAAUAUUGGUCAAUGGGCGGGAGCCUGAACCAGCCAAGUCGCGUGAGGGAAGAAGGUACUGAGUAUUGUAAACCUCUUUUGCCAGGGGACAAAGGCGGCCACGGGUGGCCGUAAGAGGGUACCUGGAGAAAAAGCAUCGGCUAACUCCGUGCCAGCAGCCGCGGUAAUACGGAGGAUGCGAGCGUUAUCCGGAUUUAGUGGGUUUAAAGGGUGGGAAGGCGGCGUGGCAAGUUAGCGGUAAAAUGUCGGGGCUAAACCCCGGCCGGCCGUGGAAACGGGGGUGCGGGAGUGGGAGAGAGGUAUGCGGAAUUGGUGGGGUAGCGGUGAAAUGCAUAGAGAUCAGGAAGAAC